rnacentral:pre_miRNA from 1 species
CAAACAAGUCCUUUUAGUUUUUGAAUCGUUUCAAACGAGUCCUUUUAGAGGAUGAUGAUGAUGAUUCAGAUGAUAGCAACAAAGAGCAUUAUCCAC